rnacentral:rRNA from 1 species
AGCAGCCGCGGUAAUUCCAGCUCCAAUAGCGUAUAUUAAAGUUGUUGCAGUUAAAAAGCUCGUAGUUGAAUUUCGGGAUUAAUUUAUUGGUCGUGCUAUUGUACGUACUGGUAUUAUUGAUUCCUACCUUCUGACGAACCAUGAUGUCAUUAAUUUGGUGUCUUGGGGAAUCAGGACUGUUACUUUGAAAAAAUUAGAGUGUUUAAAGCAGGCUCACGCUUGAAUACAUUAGCAUGGAAUAACGAAAUAGGACGUUUGAUUCUAUUUUGUUGGUUUCUAGGGUCGACGUAAUGAUUAAUAGGGAUAGUUGGGGGCAUUAGUAUUCAAUUGUCAGAGGUGAAAUUCUUGGAUUUAUUGAAGACUAACUACUGCGAAAGCAUUUGCCAAGGAUGUUUUCAUUAAUCAAGAACGAAAGUUAGGGGAUCGAAGACGAUCAGAUACCGUCGUAGUCUUAACCAUAAACUAUGCCGACUAGGGAUCGGAUGAUGUUAAUUUUUAAUAACUCAUUCGGCGCCUUACG